GAAGGAAAGGAAGAAAAAAAAGAAAAGAAAGAGAGAGAGAGCAACCUGAAGCCUUGAAGCCAUCUUCUCUUGGCCUCUCUCUCU
rnacentral:ribozyme from 14 species